rnacentral:tRNA from 2 species
CGGGAUGUGGCUCAGACUGGUAGAGCGCACGGUUCGGGGCCGUGAGGUCAAAGGUUCAAAUCCUUUCAUCUCGA